rnacentral:misc_RNA from 1 species
AAAUAAAGACCUAUGCGAACAAAAAAUAAAUUAUAAAAUUCCAAAAUGAUAUAGUUGAAAGAUAAAUGUGAUUCACCAUGCAAAAUUUAAUUUUAAAAUGUGAUAGCUCGAUUAUGACAUAAAUUCAAUAUGAAAAAAUUUCACAAAAUCCAAAAGUGCAGGAAAAGCAAAGCACACAAACCCUUUCAUCAAAAGGGAAAGAUCCACUGAAUACUGAAAGAAUUAUUAAGUUCUAUAGAAAAACAACUUUGGCUUAUAGGCAAAACAGAGAUUCAAAUGAAGCAAUACUCAUUCAAAAUACUAAAAGCUAGAUAACAAAUCCCAAUUGAAAAGGGUAAAAGUGCUGCUGAUAUCUACAAUAAGACACUGUUUGUUUUGUCAGGUAUAUUCAAGCUUUGAUUUUCCCAGUAUUAUCAGCAACCAAAUAGAGCCCACAAUUCAAUAAUACCAAAAAUCUUUCAUACAUACUGCACUCACCAGAAAUAUUUGAACAGUUUUGAAUACCAGUAAGUUACUUUGUUAAGCUCAAAGGUUUCAGUUUAAGACCGUAGACAUAAGGUGAUGAGGAAAGCUGAGGGAGAUUUACUGAC